rnacentral:rRNA from 1 species
GACGAACGCUGGCGGCGUGCUUAACACAUGCAAGUCGAACGGGAUUUAGUAAACGGAAGCCUCGGUGGAAGAUUACUAAUGAGAGUGGCGAACGGGUGAGUAACGCGUGAGCAACCUGCCUAUGACAGUGGGAUAGCCUCGGGAAACCGGGAUUAAUACCGCAUAAAAUCGUAGAAACACAUGUUUCAACGGUCAAAGAUUUAUCGGUCAUAGAUGGGCUCGCGUCUGAUUAGCUAGUUGGUGAGAUAACAGCCCACCAAGGCGACGAUCAGUAGCCGGUAUGAGAGGAUGGGCCGACACAUUGGAACGGAGACACGGUCCAAACUCCUACGGGAGGGAGCAGUGGGGAAUAUUGCAAAAUGGGGGAAAUCCUGAUGCAGCGACGCCGCGUGAACGAAGAAGGUAGUCGUAUCGUAAAGUUCUGUCCUAUGGGAAGAUAAUGACAGUACCAUAGAAGAAAGCGCCGGCUAAAUACGUG